GAUGAACGCUGGCGGCGUGCCUAAUACAUGCAAGUCGAGCGAACAGACGAGGAGCUUGCUCGUCUGACGUUAGGGGCGGACGGGUGAGUAACACGUGGAUAACCUACCUAUAAGACGGGGAUAACUUCGGGAAACCGGAGCUAAUACCGGAUAAUAUAUUGAACCGCAUGGUUCAAUAGUGAAAGACGGUUUUGCUGUCACUUAUAGAUGGAUCCGCGCCGCAUUAGCGAGUUGGGAGGGUAACGGCUUUCCAAGGCAACGCUGCGUAGCCGACCUGAGGGGGGGAACGGCCACUCUGGAACUGAGCCACGGUCUAGGCUCCUACGUGAGGCAGCGGUAGGGACGCUACCGCGAUGUGCGAAAGCCUGAACGAGCAACGCCGCGUGGGUGAUGAAGGUCUUCGUGUCGUAAAACGCUGUUCUUGUUGAAGAACAAAUGUGUAAGUAACUAUGCGCGUCUUGACGUUACCGGAACAGAAGGCCACGCCUAACUCCGU
rnacentral:rRNA from 1 species